rnacentral:rRNA from 1 species
AAUGAACGUUGGCGGCGUGGAUUAGGCAUGCAAGUCGAGCGGCAGCAGGCCCGCAAGGGCGCUGGCGAGCGGCGAAAGGGAGAGUAACACGCGGGUACCUGCCCUCGGGACCGGGAUAGCUGCGGGAAACUGCAAUUAAUACCGGAUAAUGUCCCCGGACCAAAUGGUGUGAUUCCGCCUGAGGAGGGGCCCACGUCCUAUCAGCUAGUUGGUGAGGUAACGGCUCACCAAGGCUACGACGGGUACGGGGUGUGAGAGCAUGCCCCCGCUCACUGGGACUGUGACACUGUCCAGACAACUACGGGUGGCUGCAGUAGAGAAUCUGCCGGAAUGGGCGAAAGCCUGACGGAGCGACGCCGCGUGCGGGAUGAAGGCCUUCGGGUUGUAAACCGCUGUCAGAGGGGAACAAGUUCAUGGGGUUCUCCCCUGUGUUUGAGUGAUCCUCAGAGGAAGCGCCGGCUAAGUCCGUGCCAGCAGCCGCCGUAAGAC